rnacentral:rRNA from 1 species
UGCAGUCGACGAUGACGGUGGUGCUUGCACCGCCUGAUUAGUGGCGAACGGGUGAGUAACACGUGAGUAACCUGCCCUCCACUUCGGGAUAACCUCGGGAAAUCGUGGCUAAUACCGGAUAUGAGCACUCAUCGCAUGGUGGGUGCUGGAAAGAUUUAUCGGUGGGGGAUGGACUCGCGGCCUAUCAGUUUGUUGGUGAGGUGAUGGCUCACCAAGACGAUGACGGGUAGCCGGCCUGAGAGGGCGACCGGCCACACUGGGACUGAGACACGGCCCAGACUCCUACGGGAGGCAGCAGUGGGGAAUAUUGCACAAUGGGCGAAAGCCUGAUGCAGCGACGCCGCGUGGGGGAUGACGGCCUUCGGGUUGUAAACCCCUUUCAGUAGGGAAGAAGCGAGAGUGACGGUACCUGCAGAAGAAGCGCCGGCUAACUACGUGCCAGCAGCCGCGGUAAUACGUAGGGCGCAGGCGUUGUCCGGAAUUAUUGGGCGUAAAGAGCUUGUAUGUGGCUUGUCGCGUCUGCCGUGAAAACCCGAGGCUCAACCUCGGGCGUGCGGUGCGUACGGGCAGGCUAGAGUGUGGUAGGGGAGACUGGAACUCCUGGUGUAGCGGUGAAAUGCGCAGAUAUCACGAAGAACACCGAUGGCGAAUGCAGGUCUCUGGGCCAUUACUGACACUGAGAAGCGAAAGCAUGGGUAGCGAACAGGAUUAGAUACCCUGGUAGUCCAUGCCGUAAACGUUGGGCACUAUGUGUGGGGGACAUUCCACGUUUUCCGCGCCGUAGCU